UCAGUUCGGACUGGAGUCUGNAACCCGACCCCACGAAGCUGGAUUCGCUAGUAAUCGCGCAUCAGCCAUGGCGCGGUGAAUACGUUCCCGGGCCUUGUACACACCGCCCGUCAAGCCAUGAAAGCCGGGGGCGCCUGAAGUCCGUGACCGCGAGGGUCGGCCUAGGGUGAAACCGGUGAUUGGGGCUAAGUCGUAACAAGGUAUC
rnacentral:rRNA from 1 species